rnacentral:rRNA from 1 species
GAAGGUUUCGUGGUCUGAGUCGGCCGCGCCCAAGUCCAUUGGAACAUGGCGCCUGGGAGGGUGAGAGCCCCGUAUGGCGCACGCCGACUCUUNNUACACCGCGGCUCCGACGAGUCGAGUUGUUUGGGAAUGCAGCUCUAAGUGGGUGGUAAAUUCCAUCUAAAGCUAAAUAUUGGCGAGAGACCGAUAGCGAACAAGUACAGUGAUGGAAAGAUGAAAAGCACUUUGAAAAGAGAGUGAAACAGCACGUGAAAUUGUUGAAAGGGAAGGGCUUGCAAGCAGACACGGUUUUACCGGGCCAGCGUCGAAAAGGGGGGAGGAACAAGAACUCGAGAAUGUGGCGCGCACCUUCGGGCGCGCGUGUUAUAGCUCGUGUUGACGCCUCCAUCCCUUUUCGAGGCCUGCGAUUCUAGGACGCUGGCGUAAUGGUUGCAAGCCGCCCGUCUUGAAACA